GAUGAACGCUGGCGGCGUGCCUAAUACAUGCAAGUCGAGCGAACAGACGAGGAUCUUGCUCUUCUGACGUUAGCGGCGGACGGGUGAGUAACACGUGGAUAACCUACCUAUAAGACUGGGAUAACUUCGGGAAACCGGAGCUAAUACCGGAUAAUAUAUUGAACCGCAUGGUUCUAUAGUGAAAGACGGUUUUGCUGUCACUUAUAGAUGGAUCCGCGCCGCAUUAGCUAGUUGGUAAGGUAACGGCUUACCAAGGCAACGAUGCGUAGCCGACCUGAGAGGGUGAUCGGCCACACUGGAACUGAGACACGGUCCAGACUCCUACGGGAGGCAGCAGUAGGGAAUCUUCCGCAAUGGGCGAAAGCCUGACGGAGCAACGCCGCGUGAGUGAUGAAGGUCUUCGGAUCGUAAAACUCUGUUAUUAGGGAAGAACAAAUGUGUAAGUAACUAUGCACGUCUUGACGGUACCUAAUCAGAAAGCCACGGCUAACUACGUG
rnacentral:rRNA from 1 species